rnacentral:rRNA from 1 species
UACGUAGGGUGCAGGCGUUAAUCGGAAUUACUGGGCGUAAAGCGUGCGCAGGCGGUCUUUUAAGUCAGAUGUGAAAUCCUCGGGCUUAACCUGGGAACUGCGUUUGAAACUGAAAGGCUUGAGUGUGGCAGAGGGGGGCGGAAUUCCAGGUGUAGCAGGUGAAAAUGCGUAGAUAUCUGGAGGAACACCGAUGGCGAAGGCAGCCCCCUGGGUUAACACUGACGCUCCAUGCACGAAAGGCGUGGGGAGCAAACAGG